rnacentral:rRNA from 1 species
CCUGGCUCAGGACGAACGCUGGCGGCGUGCCUAAUACAUGCAAGUAGAACGCUGAAGAGAGGAGCUUGCUCUUCUUGGAUGAGUUGCGAACGGGUGAGUAACGCGUAGGUAACCUGCCUGGUAGCGGGGGAUAACUAUUGGAAACGAUAGCUAAUACCGCAUAAUAGCAGUUAUUGCAUGAUAACUGUUUGAAAGGUGCAAAUGCAUCACUACCAGAUGGACCUGCGUUGUAUUAGCUAGUUGGUGAGGUAACGGCUCACCAAGGCAACGAUACAUAGCCGACCUGAGAGGGUGAUCGGCCACACUGGGACUGAGACACGGCCCAGACUCCUACGG